GCUUACGUGGUUUAGUGGUAAAAUCGAGCCUUGCCAAGAUCUUUCAGAUCUUCAGCUUGGCUUGGCCCCGUGUUCGAUUCACGGCGUAAGCA